CUCCUAUACCCCAAAAGCAGUGAAUAAAUUUAAGAGCAGUGUCAGUUGGUCACUCAAAAGAUACAGAAUAGUUUUUCUACGUCAGACAACCAAAAUUUCAAGUUGCAUCAUGGAUCUGCAGCCAAAAAUACUGUUCGGCUGGAUUUGUAUUCAAGUGAUCUUUGCCUCUGUUUUUUCGGAUGUGUGGAAAGCAGAAGUUGUCCCUACAUUGGAAGCAGUAGUCUCAUCUUGUGUUGUGUUGCCCUGCACGUUUAAUUACCCUGCCGCUCAGUAUCCUGCUUCUCGGGUCAAAGCAAUCUGGCACAAAAAGGGAGACAGAAAUUAUCGUAUCUAUGAUGGGGAUGGCUAUAAUAUUAAAGACAGCUUCAAGGAUCGCACAAAGCUCGUUGGCCAUUUGGGUGAAAAAAACUGCACGUUGGAAAUAGAUGAUGUUAAAGACACUGACAACGGUCCAUUCUGUUUCAGAGCUGAAAUCCAAGGUUUUGAUAAAUUCUCUUUUGAGGAGGCAUGUGUGCACACCAUUAUGAAAGCUAAACCUGAAGAAAUAUCUUUGGAUUAUGAAGAAUCUGUCACAGAGGGAUCAAGUGCCAUCUUUAAGUGUUCUAUGAGACACACCUGUCCCACACACCCCCCACAAAUUAAAUGGAGUCGCUCAGAUGUUAAAGAACGUGUGUCCCAUAAGAGCAAUGGCCAUGGAGUUUGGGAGGUGGAAUCCAUCAUGUCCUUCACGGCCACACAGGAGGACGAUCACACGGUCAUCACUUGCACUGUCACUUCCCACGGCGACAUAGUAUCUACAACUUCUCGCAAAAUGUUCAUAAAACGUGAAAAAAAUUACCUGCACAUCAUUAUUCCUGUGGUUGCUGUGUUUGGAACUAUCAUUCUAUUUGGAACAGCAUGUUUCUUUGUGACCAGGAGAUACAAGAAACAGAUUCAAGACCUCCAAUCUAGAAAUCCAAAUGGGGUAUGGAGUCGUCUCUCCAGAAUGUCUCACAGGGUCAGGUCAGUGGGAAGAAUGAGAGACAGAGCCUGAUUCCCUAAGUAGUCUAAGCAGUAAAAGCAUUUAAUCUAUAAAAGUAGAUUCAUCUGUUGACUGUUUUUAUAUAUGCACUUCCAGCAAAAAAAUAUACACACACAUUAUUAUUAGUAAGGUUUUCUUGCACCAUGGCAGUCUUCAGUGACAGAUUAUCUCUUAUUCUUCUUAAUGUUAUCCCAUGAAUUUGGUUUGAAUCAUAAUCAUUUACUCUGAAGAAAGUAUAAUGUUUUUAUUUCCUUAUUUCCUUAUUAUGGAACAAGUGCUUGUCUCAUAUCUCAUCGUGUAUAGAAUUUAGGGAUUUGUUUUAACAAAAUGAUAAGGACAUCCUACAUGUUGGCACCUUUGAAUAAAGUUUAUAAAAUGAACAAACAUUCAUUAUUUUACUAAUAUAUUGGUCAUACAGUUUAGUGCAUAACAAUAUGAAUGUUUGUGCUACAAUCAUAUUACUCCGCUUUACUGUUAAUUUCUUAAAUCUGCUUGACUAAUAAAUGUUUAUUAAAAUUAUGUUUCACCAUUUGAAUAUACUCAAGUGUUAGAAAUAGAAAAUAUUUGAAAUAGAUGACAUUAUGUUAAUAUGGUGUUAUAUGAUGUGCAUGUAUAAUAUAAAAUGUAUUACUUACCUAAAAGUUUAGGAAGGUGGUUUUCUUUUUAAAACAAUUUGCACCAUUAUUUCUUGAAAACAUCAUUCAAUCUUUGCAGAUUUUCUAGUUUAUGUGUGAUUUGUGUUUCCAAGUGAAUUUAUCAGAAGUAAACUAUCCUGUAUAUAUGCAACAUUUACAUCUAUUAGCUAGGAUUUCACUUUCUGCCUAACCAAAUAAUGUUAUGUUUAUUAUUGUAUUUAUGGAAUUAAUGCUAGUGUAACCUGUCAGUACUACAGCAUAUCUUAGCUCUAUAUAGCCAGUUAAUGUUAGUAUAUUAGAGAAAUGUUCCUCAGCAUGCUUUUUCAAAGUUCAUGCUUCUAGGGAGAUAAAAGUUUCCUGUUUUUAGACAAAUCAUUACUACAUCCAUUUGUCAAGAACAAUGCAUGAAAAAGUGAAGUUAAUUAUUUGUCUUUUUAUAGUAUUCUUAGAACUUUAAGAAAGAUCAGAGACAUGUAGCUCUUUUUAAGAGACUUUUUCUGUUCCUUUUUUCUGUUCCUCCUUUAUGACAGGAAAAAGCAGACAUAGCUCUUAGCUAAAAAUGCACAAUGCCUUGGUGGUUCUUGAUUUAUUUGCAUUCAAUAUAUAUUUAACAUUUUACCAGUAAGGUUUGUGAUAAAAGUGAUAGCAUUAUCUAAGUUAUCAAAAUCUGGGCUUUUUAACCACAGUGACUUUAAUCAGUUUAAUAUGAAAGUCUCACAUUAUAUACUGUGGAUAGCUGUUUUUUAAAUAUGAGUGGAGCUUCUCUGAUGAUGUCAAUGUACAAUUAUGAUGCCUACUCCUGAAAACCAAAACCAAUAAAUCUCUGCAAUUGUAGUUUGUUGAAUUAAACAUAAAAAGCUGAACCAAAAACAACAGGAACUAUAGAGGAAGGCAGGCACCUGAAAGGGAUUUUGGUACUAAGCCAAACAACUGUGGAGGUGCCCUGCCAGGAAAAGCAGAAUUCUCAAAACCUCGCUGUCCUUCUCCGAAGAG